rnacentral:rRNA from 1 species
CCUACGUGAGGCAGCAGUGAGGAAUAUUGGUCAAUGGGCGCGAGCCUGAACCAGCCAAGUAGCGUGAAGGAUGACUGCCCUACGGGUUGUAAACUUCUUUUAUAAAGGAAUAAAGUGAGGCACGUGUGCCUUUUUGUAUGUACUUUAUGAAUAAGGAUCGGCUAACGCCGUGCCAGCAGCCGCGGUAAUACGGAGGAUCCGAGCGUUGUCCGGAUUUCGUGGGUGUAAAGGGAGCGUAGAUGGGUUGUUAAGUCAGUUGUGAAAGUUUGCGGCUCAACCGUAGAAUUGCAAUGGAUACUGGCAGACUUGAGUACAGUUGAGGUAGGCGGAAUGCGUAGUGUAGCGGUGAAAUGCUUAGAUAUCACGAAGAACUCCGAUUGCGAAGGCAGCUUACUAAACUGCCACUGACAUUGAUGCUCGAAAGUGUGGGUAUCAAACAGGAUUAGAUACCCGUGUAGUC